GUUAGAAGGCAGAUCUUACAGAUGCAAGUAUUGUGGUACCCACUUGGCCCUUCCAGUUGAUCUAGUCUCAAGGUCUUUCCAUUGCCGCCGAGGAAAGGCAUACCUCUUCAAUAACGUGGUAAACAUCAUAAUUGGAGCCUUAGAGGACAGAGCUAUGCUUUCAGGAAUGCAUACUGUUGCAGAUAUAUUUUGCUGCUGUUGUGGACAAAUUAUUGGCUGGAAAUAUGAGGCAGCACAUGAAAAGAGCCAAAAGUAUAAAGUAGGGAAGUUUGUUCUUGAAAGAGGGAGGAUUGUCGAUGAAAUGGACUUGUCGACGGGUG
rnacentral:misc_RNA from 1 species